GCAGUGGUGCUUCAGUGGUAGGAUUUUGACCUUCAACGUGGGAGACCCAGGUUUGAUUCCCGGCCAGUGCA
rnacentral:tRNA from 1 species